GAUUGUCCUUUGGACAAUGGUAGGAGAGCGUUCUAAGGGCGUUGAAGCAUGAUCGUAAGGACAUGUGGAGCGCUUAGAAGUGAGAAUGCCGGUGUGAGUAGCGAAAGACGGGUGAGAAUCCCGUCCACCGAUUGACUAAGGUUUCCAGAGGAAGGCUCGUCCGCUCUGGGUUAGUCGGGUCCUAAGCUGAGGCCGACAGGCGUAGGCGAUGGAUAACAGGUUGAUAUUCCUGUACCACCUAUAAUCGUUUUAAUCGAUGGGGGGACGCAGUAGGAUAGGCGAAGCGUGCGAUUGGAUUGCACGUCUAAGCAGUAAGGCUGAGUAUUAGGCAAAUCCGGUACUCAUUAAGGCUGAGCUGUGAUGGGGAGAAGACAUUGUGUCUUCGAGUCGUUGAUUUCACACUGCCGAGAAAAGCCUCUAGAUAGAAAAUAGGUGCCCGUACCGCAAACCGACACAGGUAGUCAAGAUGAGAAUUCUAAGGUGAGCGAGCGAACUCUCGUUAAGGAACUCGGCAAAAUGACCCCGUAACUUCGGGAGAAGGGGUGCUCUUUAGGGUUAACGCCCAGAAGAGCCGCAGUGAAUAGGCCCAAGCGACUGUUUAUCAAAAACACAGGUCUCUGCUAAACCGUAAGGUGAUGUAUAGGGGCUGACGCCUGCCCGGUGCUGGAAGGUUAAGAGGAGUGGUUAGCUUCUGCGAAGCUACGAAUCGAAGCCCCAGUAAACGGCGGCCGUAACUAUAACGGUCCUAAGGUAGCGAAAUUCCUUGUCGGGUAAGUUCCGACCCGCACGAAAGGCGUAACGAUUUGGGCACUGUCUCAACGAGAGACUCGGUGAAAUCAUAGUACCUGUGAAGAUGCAGGUUACCCGCGACAGGACGGAAAGACCCCGUGGAGCUUUACUGUAGCCUGAUAUUGAAAUUCGGCACAGCUUGUACAGGAUAGGUAGGAGCCUUUGAAACGUGAGCGCUAGCUUACGUGGAGGCGCUGGUGGGAUACUACCCUAGCUGUGUUGGCUUUCUAACCCGCACCACUUAUCGUGGUGGGAGACAGUGUCAGGCGGGCAGUUUGACUGGGGCGGUCGCCUCCUAAAAGGUAACGGAGGCGCUCAAAGGUUCCCUCAGAAUGGUUGGAAAUCAUUCAUAGAGUGUAAAGGCAUAAGGGAGCUUGACUGCGAGACCUACAAGUCGAGCAGGGUCGAAAGACGGACUUAGUGAUCCGGUGGUUCCGCAUGGAAGGGCCAUCGCUCAACGGAUAAAAGCUACCCCGGGGAUAACAGGCUUAUCUCCCCCAAGAGUUCACAUCGACGGGGAGGUUUGGCACCUCGAUGUCGGCUCAUCGCAUCCUGGGGCUGUAGUCGGUCCCAAGGGUUGGGCUGUUCGCCCAUUAAAGCGGUACGCGAGCUGGGUUCAGAACGUCGUGAGACAGUUCGGUCCCUAUCCGUCGUGGGCGUAGGAAAUUUGAGAGGAGCUGUCCUUAGUACGAGAGGACCGGGAUGGACAUACCUCUGGUGUACCAGUUGUCGUGCCAACGGCAUAGCUGGGUAGCUAUGUGUGGACGGGAUAAGUGCUGAAAGCAUCUAAGCAUGAAGCCCCCCUC
rnacentral:rRNA from 1 species